UGCAUAGACUUGAGUUGGGAAAGGGGUCCAUAAAAAUCCUGAUUUUUUUGCCUCAGUUGUGACAGCCUGAGGGUUGGUCUUCUGGUAUAUUCUGCUCUCCUCUCUUUUGCUGGCUCUGUUUCUUGUUGCAGGUUGCUGUGGGUGGAGCUAACCUGAGAGAGCUUAUCAGUGAUACAGCACACCUGUGCAGGAGCUGAGCUGCUGCACCACAGUCUGCUCACUCUUUACUGACUGACAGACUGGCUUUGUCUUUGUUUGUAUAUUUUGUUGCUGGACGCACUCACACUUGACACACACUGACUGUUACAUCUAUUGACCCUCACCUCAUGGUUUUCUUCAUGUAAUUAAAUACUAUUGUAAAUCAU